AUAGCGUAUAUUAAAGUUGUUGCAGUUAAAAAGCUCGUAGUUGAACCUUGGGCCUGGCUGGCCGGUCCGUCUCAUCGCGUGUACUGGUCCGGCUGGGCCUUUCCUUCUGGCUAGGCACAUGUCCUUUACUGGGUGUGUGUCCGAACCAGGACUUUUACUUUGAAAAAAUUAGAGUGUUCAAAGCAGGCAUAUGCUCGAAUACAUUAGCAUGGAAUAAUAGAAUAGGACGUGUGGUUCUAUUUUGUUGGUUUAUAGAACCGCCGUAAUGAUUAAUAGGGAUAGUCGGGGGCAUCAGUAUUCAAUUGUCAGAGGUGAAAUUCUUGGAUUAAUUGAAGACUAACUACUG
rnacentral:rRNA from 1 species